rnacentral:rRNA from 1 species
AGAGUUUGAUCAUGGCUCAGAUUGAACGCUGGCGGAAUGCUUUACACAUGCAAGUCGAACGGCAGCACGGGGCAACCUGGUGGCGAGUGGCGAACGGGUGAGUAAUACAUCGGAACGUGCCCAAUCGUGGGGAUAACGUAGCGAAAGUUACGCUAAUACCGCAUACGAUCUACGGAUGAAAGCGGGGGAUCGCAAGACCUCGCGCGAAUGGAGCGGCCGAUGUCAGAUUAGGUAGUUGGUGGGGUAAAGGCUCACCAAGCCAACGAUCUGUGGCUGGUCUGAGAGGACGACCAGCCACACUGGAACUGAGACACGGUCCAGACUCCUACGGGAGGCAGCAGUGGGGAAUUUUGGACAAUGGGCGCAAGCCUGAUCCUGCCAUUCCGCGUGCAGGAUGAAGGCCUUCGGGUUGUAAACUGCUUUUGUACGGAACGAAACGGCGAGCUCUAAUACAGUUUGCUAAUGACGGUACCGUAAGAAUAAGCACCGGCUAACUACGUG